rnacentral:rRNA from 1 species
CGUAGGCGGGAUGGCAAGUCGGUCGUGAAAUCCUUCGGCUCAACCGAAGAACGUCGGCCGAUACUGCCGUUCUUGAGGGAUGCAGAGGAGAUUGGAAUUCCCGGUGUAGCGGUGAAAUGUGUAGAGAUCGGGAGGAACACCGGUGGCGAAGGCGGGUCUCUGGGCAUCUCCUGACGCUGAGGCGCGAAAGCGUGGGGAGCAAACGG